rnacentral:rRNA from 1 species
AUAUCAAUAAGCGGAGGAAAAGAAACUAACGAGGAUUCCCCUAGUAACUGCGAGUGAAGCGGGAAGAGCUCAAAUUUAAAAUCUGGCGGUCUUUGGCCGUCCGAGUUGUAGUCUGGAGAAGCGUCUUCUACGCCGGACCGUGUACAAGUCCCUUGGAACAGGGCGUCAUAGAGGGUGAGAAUCCCGUCCAUGACACGGACCGCCGGCGGUUUGUGAUGCGCUCUCAAAGAGUCGAGUUGUUUGGGAAUGCAGCUCAAAACGGGUGGUAAAUUCCAUCUAAAGCUAAAUACUGGCGAGAGACCGAUAGCGAACAAGUACCGUGAGGGAAAGAUGAAAAGCACUUUGGAAAGAGAGUUAAACAGUACGUGAAAUUGCUGAAAGGGAAACGCUUGAAGUCAGUCGCGUCGGCCGGGGCUCAGCCUUGCAUUCGUUUGCUCGGUUUACUUCCCGGUCGACGGGCCAGCGUCGAUUUCGACCGUCGGAGAACGGUCAGGGGAAAGUGGCACCUUCGGGUGUGUUAUAGCCUUUGGUCGCAUACGACGGUUGGGAUCGAGGGACGCAGCACGCCUUUAUUGGCCGGGGCAUUCGUGCCCACGUAUCGUGCUUAGGAUGCUGGUGUAAUGGCUUUAAACGACCCGUCUUGAAACACGGACCAAGGAGUCUAACGUGCCUG